rnacentral:rRNA from 1 species
AGUGAACGCUGGCGGCGUGCCUAAGACAUGCAAGUCGAACGAGAAAGCUUCUUCGGAAGUAAGUACAGUGGCGCACGGGUGAGUAACACUUGAGUAACGUACCUUUCAGAGGGGGACAACAGGAGGAAACUCCUGCUAAUACCGCGUACGCUCUGUUUUUCUGCGGAUUAACAGAGGAAAGCCGUAAGGCGCUGAAAGAGCGGCUCGAGCACUAUUAGCUUGAUGGUGGGGUAACGGCCUACCAUUGCUACGAUAGUUAGCUGGUCUGAGAGGAUGAUCAGCCACACUGGAACUGAUACACGGUCCAGACUCCUACGGGAGGCAGCAGUUAGGAAUUUUGCGCAAUGGGGGAAACCCUGACGCAGCAACGCCGCGUGAGUGAAGAAGGCCCUAGGGUUGUAAAGCUCUUUCGAUAGGGAAGAAACAAAUGACGGUACCUAUAUAAGAAGCACCGGCUAACUCCG